rnacentral:rRNA from 1 species
UACAGAGGUCUCAAGCGUUGUUCGGAUUCAUUGGGCGUAAAGGGUGCGUAGGUGGUGAUGCAAGUCUGGUGUGAAAUCUCGGAGCUCAACUCCGAAAUUGCACCGGAUACUGCGUGACUCGAGGACUGUAGAGGAGAUCGGAAUUCACGGUGUAGCAGUGAAAUGCGUAGAUAUCGAGAGGAACACCAGUGGCGAAGGCGAGUCCCUGGACAACACCUGACACUGAGGCACGAAAGCUAGGGGAGCAAACAGG